GCCUAGUUAGCUUAGUUGGUAGUGCGUCUGCUUGUAAGCGCUAGGCCGCGGGUUCGAUUCCCGCCCGGGGCG
rnacentral:tRNA from 1 species